rnacentral:rRNA from 1 species
GCACAGAGUUAGCCGGUGCUUAUUCUGCGAGUAACGUCCACUAUCCCAGAGUAUUAAUCCAAGUAGCCUCCUCCUCGCUUAAAGUGCUUUACAACCAAAGGGCCUUCUUCACACACGCGGCAUGGCUGGAUCAGGGUUGCCCCCAUUGUCCAAUAUACCCCA